rnacentral:rRNA from 1 species
UACGUAGGGUGCGAGCGUUAAUCGGAAUUACUGGGCGUAAAGCGUGCGCAGGCGGUUUUGUAAGCCCGAGGUGAAAUCCCCGGGCUUAACCUGGGAACUGCCUUUGUGACUGCAAGGCUUGAGUGCGGCAGAGGGGGAUGGAAUUCCGCGUGUAGCAGUGAAAUGCGUAGAUAUGCGGAGGAACACCGAUGGCGAAGGCAAUCCCCUGGGCCUGCACUGACGCUCAUGCACGAAAGCGUGGGGAGCAAACAGG